ensembl:snRNA U6 U6 spliceosomal RNA
GUGCUUGCUUUGGCAGCACGUAUACUAAAAUUGGAAUGAUGUAGAUAAGAUUAGCAUGGCCUCUGCACGAGGAUGAUAUGCAGAUUUAUGGAAUGUUCUAUAUAUUU